GCCGUCUGUUCGGGCAAAAGAAGCGGGAGCGAGUAUUCGUUUACCCGUGCCUGCCAUUUAUAGACCCCGCCCUCCCACCGCUCCUUGCGCCGCCCCCCUCCGUUCCGUCCCCCUCCCCUCCUUCUCUCUCCUCCAUCGGAGCUCGAGAAGAGAGGAAUAGAGGAAAGAAUAAAUACUAGAAGAAAACCCUAGACCUCUUUCUUUCUCUCUUAUCGAUCUCGAAUUCCAGGACCUGGGGAAAGUGCUGCUUUUAUUUUGAAAUAUGGCGGUAGCUCUCCAGUUGGGACCUCGAGCUCACUGCUCUGAAGUCGCGAGGGAUUCUUGGAGCUCUCUUGCUUUCUCGUCGAGCUUUCCAAGUAAACGUGGCUUCGAGUCAUCUGUGAGGUUAAUUUGUAGAAAGAGAGAGAGGAGCUGUGGGGGGAGGGGAGGUUUGAAGGUAUGUUGCGAGAAAGGAGCAUCUGCUAUUGUGGAGAAGCAUGAGGUGGUGAGGGAGGAUGCUGAUGGAAAUGCUGCACAGCUGAGCAUCGUGAUGAAGUUUGGAGGGUCAUCGGUGGCGUCGGCUGACAGGAUGAGGGAGGUUGCUGACCUCAUUCUUAGCUUUCCUGAAGAAAGGCCAGUGAUUGUUCUAUCUGCAAUGGGGAAGACAACAAACAACCUUCUGCUGGCUGGGGAAAAAGCUGUCUGCUGUGGGGUGAGCAAUGUGUCUGACCUUAAAGAGUUAAGCUUUGUAAAGGAGUUGCAUCUUAAGACAGUUGAUGAACUUGGAAUUGAUAGGUCUGUCAUUUCUGGUCUGUUGGAUGAAUUGGAGCAACUUUUGAAAGGAAUUGCCAUGAUGAAAGAACUAACACCUCGUACAACGGACUAUCUAGUUUCAUUUGGAGAAUGCAUGUCUACGAGAAUCUUUGCAGCACAUUUGAACAAAAUUGGUACUAAAGCACAGCAGUAUGAUGCAUUUGACAUUGGUUUUAUAACAACGGAUGAAUUUACAAAUGCGGAGAUCUUGGAGGCAACUUAUCCUGCCAUUGCAAAGAGAUUACAUGGAGAUUGGAUUAAUGAUCCUGCAAUACCUAUUGUGACUGGCUUUCUUGGAAAGGGUUGGAAAUCCUGUGCUGUUACUACUUUAGGCAGGGGUGGUAGUGACUUGACAGCUACUACCAUUGGUAAAGCCUUGGGAUUACGAGAAAUUCAGGUUUGGAAGGAUGUUGAUGGUGUUUUGACAUGUGAUCCUAAUAUAUAUCCAAAUGCAAAGCCUGUACCACAUUUAACAUUUGAAGAAGCAGCUGAACUUGCCUAUUUUGGUGCACAGGUUUUGCAUCCCCAAUCAAUGCGACCUGCCAGAGAAAGUGAUAUACCAGUUAGGGUCAAGAAUUCAUACAACCCUCAAGCUCCGGGUACCCUCAUCACUAAAGCAAGGGAUCUUAGCGAGACUAUACUGACCAGCAUAGUUUUGAAAUCGAAUAUCACAAUGUUGGAUAUAGUGAGCACUCGAAUGCUAGGCCAAUAUGGUUUUCUAGCAAAGGUUUUUUCUAUAUUUGAAGACUUGGGUAUCUCUGUUGAUUGUGUGGCUACGAGUGAAGUCAGUAUUUCCUUGACAUUGGAUCCUUCUAAACUUUGGAGCAGAGAACUAAUACAGCAGAAACAGAAUUAUCGAGCAGCUUGUGAGGGACAGCAAUUUGCUUUCUAUUUGUUUUCUGGUUGUUCUUAUCAUCUAGUCUAUCCAAAACAAUCAAAUGGCAGGAGCUUGAUCAUGUGGUUGAAGAGCUUGAGAAGAUUGCAGUCGUUCAUCUCCUUCAGCACAGAUCAAUAAUUUCCCUCAUUGGAAAUGUGCAACGGUCUUCUUUGAUACUAGAAAAGGCAUUUAAUGUACUCCGGAAGAAUAAAGUCAAUGUCCAGAUGAUUUCUCAGGGGGCAUCUAAGGUGAACAUUUCCUUGGUAGUUCAUGACAGUGAAGCAAAGCAGUGUGUUAGAGCUCUUCAUUCCGCAUUCUUCGAGAAUGGUUUCCUGUCAGAAGUGGAUGAAACAGAUCUUUUCCAGAAUGGCUCUGCAACUCUGCCUUCUGCACGCUGAGGAUACCCACACCCAUACCACUUAGAUGUAUCACUGCCCUGCCUCUAAUAUGUAGUUGUAGGUGUAAUGGUUAGACUCUUCCUUUUUCCCUCACCUACAGGUUCUUCCUUGCUGCUAAUCCAUGCUUUGAUAGUCGAAAUGAUGGUUUCGUGUUAUAAUUAGCUAUAAUUAGCGGGGAAUAACUGUUUUCUGAUUAAUAAAUUAAGUGCAUGAAUUCUUCUCUCUCUCA